GAUGAACGCUGGCGGCGUGCCUAAUACAUGCAAGUCGAGCGAACAGACGAGGAGCUUGCUCCUCUGACGUUAGCGGCGGACGGGUGAGUAACACGUGGAUAACCUACCUAUAAGACUGGGAUAACUUCGGGAAACCGGAGCUAAUACCGGAUAAUAUAUUGAACCGCAUGGUUCAAUAGUGAAAGACGGUUUUGCUGUCACUUAUAGAUGGAUCCGCGCCGCAUUAGCUAGUUGGUAAGGUAACGGCUUGCCAAGGCAACGAUGCGUAGCCGACCUGAGAGGGCGAUCGGCCACACUGGAACUGAGACACGGUCCAGACUCCUACGGGAGGCAGCAGUAGGGAAUCUUCCGCAAUGGGCGAAAGCCUGACGGAGCAACGCCGCGUGAGUGAUGAAGGUCUUCGGAUCGUAAAACUCUGUUAUUAGGGAAGAACAAAUGUGUAAGUAACUAUGCACGUCUUGACGGUACCUAAUCAGAAAGCCACGGCUAACUACGUG
rnacentral:rRNA from 1 species